rnacentral:rRNA from 1 species
CAGCCGCCGCGGGAACACGAAGGGUGCAAGCGUUACUCGGAAUUACUGGGCGUAAAGCGUGCGUAGGUGGUGGUUUAAGUCCGUUGUGAAAGCCCUGGGCUCAACCUGGGAAUUGCAGUGGAUACUGGGUCACUAGAGUGUGGUAGAGGAUAGUGGAAUUUCCGGUGUAGCAGUGAAAUGCGUAGAGAUCGGAAGGAACAUCUGUGGCGAAGGCGACUAUCUGGGCCAACACUGACACUGAGGCACGAAAGCGUGGGGAGCAAACAGGAUUAGAUACCCCGGUAGUCCCUGUCUCUUAUAA